rnacentral:misc_RNA from 1 species
UGAAGCACAAGAUUUCCUGUCCAAAUGCCCAUGUUACAUCCGUAACCAUGCUGAUGUUUUAAAUCUUUUUUGUUCUAUGAAAUCUGGUAAAAAUACUGCUUCUGCUGCUGUGGUUGUCUAGACUUUUUUGGAAAGUACAACAUAUUGUAUUCUGUGAGGUUGAUGUAGUUUGGCAUUUGUUCAAAAGUUUGGUAUGAAAAUUUUUGACACUCGCAUUGAACCUUGCCUUUGGAGUGUAAUCAACUUUGAUUACUUGAAAUAAAACUAUAUUAGUUCAAGUUUCCAAAAAAGUCUAGACAACCACAGCAG